rnacentral:rRNA from 1 species
UACGAAGGGGGCUAGCGUUGCUCGGAAUGACUGGGCGUAAAGGGCGCGUAGGCGGCUUGCACCGUCAGAUGUGAAAUUCCUGGGCUUAACCUGGGGGCUGCAUUUGAUACGUGUGGGCUUGAGUGCGGAAGAGGGUCGUGGAAUUCCCAGUGUAGAGGUGAAAUUCGUAGAUAUUGGGAAGAACACCGGUGGCGAAGGCGGCAUCCUGGACCAAUACUGACACUGAGGAGCGAAAGCCAGGGGAGCAAACGGG